rnacentral:rRNA from 1 species
AUUGAACGCUGGCGGCAUGCUUUACACAUGCAAGUCGAACGGCAGCACGGGAGCUUGCUCCUGGUGGCGAGUGGCGAACGGGUGAGUAAUGCAUCGGAACGUACCCAGUAGUGGGGGAUAGCCCGGCGAAAGCCGGAUUAAUACCGCAUAUUUCCUGAGGGAGAAAGCGGGGGACCUUCGGGCCUCGCGCUACUGGAGCGGCUGAUGUCGGAUUAGCUAGUUGGUGAGGUAAAGGCUCACCAAGGCGACGAUCCGUAGCUGGUCUGAGAGGAUGAUCAGCCACACUGGGACUGAGACACGGCCCAGACUCCUACGGGAGGCAGCAGUGGGGAAUUUUGGACAAUGGGGGCAACCCUGAUCCAGCCAUGCCGCGUGAGUGAAGAAGGCCUCGGUGUAAGCUACUUCUAGUGGUAAGAAAGUACAC